rnacentral:rRNA from 1 species
GAUGAACGCUGGCGGCGUGCCUAAUACAUGCAAGUCGAGCGAACAGACGAGGAGCUUGCUCCUCUGACGUUAGCGGCGGACGGGUGAGUAACACGUGUAUAACCUACCUAUAAGACUGGGAUAACUUCGGGAAACCGGAGCUAAUACCGGAUAAUAUAUUGAACCGCAUGGUUCAAUAGUGAAAGACGGUUUUGCUGUCACUUAUAGAUGGAUCCGCGCCGCAUUAGCUAGUUGGUAAGGUAACGGCUUACCAAGGCAACGAUGCGUAGCCGACCUGAGAGGGUGAUCGGCCACACUGGAACUGAGACACGGUCCAGACUCCUACGGGAGGCAGCAGUAGGGAAUCUGCCGCAAUGGGCGAAAGCCUGGCGGAGCAACGCCGCGUGAGUGAUGAAGGUCUUCGGAUCGUAAAACUCUGUUAUUAGGGAAGAACAAAUGUGUAAGUAACUAUGCACGUCUUGACGGUACCUAAUCAGAAAGCCACGGCUAACUACGUG